rnacentral:rRNA from 1 species
CGGACGGGUGAGUAACACGUGGAUAGCCUACCUAUAGGACUGGGAUAACUUCGGGAAACCGGAGCUAAUACCGGAUAAUAUAUUGAACCGCAUGGUUCAAUAGUGAAAGACGGUUUUGCUGUCACUUAUAGAUGGAUCCGCGCCGCAUUAGCUAGUUGGUAAGGUAACGGCUUACCAAGGCAACGAUGCGUAGCCGACCUGAGAGGGUGAUCGGCCACACUGGAACUGAGACACGGUCCAG